UACGUAGGUGGCAAGCGUUGUCCGGAAUUGUUGGGCGUAAAGCGCGCGCAGGCGGUCCUUUAAGUCUGAUGUGAAAGCCCACGGCUCAACCGUGGAGGGUCAUUGGAAACUGGGGGACUUGAGUGCAGGAGAGAAGAGUGGAAUUCCACGUGUAGCGGUGAAAUGCGUAGAGAUGUGGAGGAACACCAGUGGCGAAGGCGACUCUUUGGCCUGUAACUGACGCUGAGGCGCGAAAGCGUGGGGAGCGAACAGG
rnacentral:rRNA from 1 species